GCAAGUCGAACGCGUUGGCCCAAUUGAUUGAUGGUGCUUGCACCUGAUUGAUUUUGGUCGCCAACGAGUGGCGGACGGGUGAGUAACACGUAGGUAACCUGCCCAGAAGCGGGGGACAACAUUUGGAAACAGAUGCUAAUACCGCAUAACAGCGUUGUUCGCAUGAACAACGCUUAAAAGAUGGCUUCUCGCUAUCACUUCUGGAUGGACCUGCGGUGCAUUAGCUUGUUGGUGGGGUAACGGCCUACCAAGGCGAUGAUGCAUAGCCGAGUUGAGAGACUGAUCGGCCACAAUGGGACUGAGACACGGCCCAUACUCCUACGGGAGGCAGCAGUAGGGAAUCUUCCACAAUGGGCGCAAGCCUGAUGGAGCAACACCGCGUGAGUGAAGAAGGGUUUCGGCUCGUAAAGCUCUGUUGUUAAAGAAGAACACGUAUGAGAGUAACUGUUCAUACGUUGACGGUAUUUAACCAGAAAGUCACGGCUAACUACGUGCCAGCAGCCGCGGUAAUACGUAGGUGGCAAGCGUUAUCCGGAUUUAUUGGGCGUAAAGAGAGUGCAGGCGGUUUUCUAAGUCUGAUGUGAAAGCCUUCGGCUUAACCGGAGAAGUGCAUCGGAAACUGGAUAACUUGAGUGCAGAAGAGGGUAGUGGAACUCCAUGUGUAGCGGUGGAAUGCGUAGAUAUAUGGAAGAACACCAGUGGCGAAGGCGGCUACCUGGUCUGCAACUGACGCUGAGACUCGAAAGCAUGGGUAGCGAACAGGAUUAGAUACCCUGGUAGUCCAUGCCGUAAACGAUGAGUGCUAGGUGUUGGAGGGUUUCCGCCCUUCAGUGCCGGAGCUAACGCAUUAAGCACUCCGCCUGGGGAGUACGACCGCAAGGUUGAAACUCAAAGGAAUUGACGGGGGCCCGCACAAGCGGUGGAGCAUGUGGUUUAAUUCGAAGCUACGCGAAGAACCUUACCAGGUCUUGACAUCUUGCGCCAACCCUAGAGAUAGGGCGUUUCCUUCGGGAACGCAAUGACAGGUGGUGCAUGGUCGUCGUCAGCUCGUGUCGUGAGAUGUUGGGUUAAGUCCCGCAACGAGCGCAACCCUUGUUACUAGUUGCCAGCAUUAAGUUGGGCACUCUAGUGAGACUGCCGGUGACAAACCGGAGGAAGGUGGGGACGACGUCAGAUCAUCAUGCCCCUUAUGACCUGGGCUACACACGUGCUACAAUGGACGGUACAACGAGUCGCGAACUCGCGAGGGCAAGCAAAUCUCUUAAAACCGUUCUCAGUUCGGACUGCAGGCUGCAACUCGCCUGCACGAAGUCGGAAUCGCUAGUAAUCGCGGAUCAGCAUGCCGCGGUGAAUACGUUCCCGGGCCUUGUACACACCGCCCGUCACACCAUGAGAGUUUGUAACACCCAAAGUCGGUGGGGUAACCUUUAGGAGCCAGCCG
rnacentral:rRNA from 1 species